UACGUAGGGAGCAAGCGUUGUCCGGAAUCAUUGGGCGUAAAGCGCGCGUAGGCGGCCUCAUAAGUCCGUUGUGAAAGUCAAAGGCUCAACCUUUGAAAGCCGAUGGAUACUGUGAGGCUAGAGUCCGGAAGAGGCGAGUGGAAUUCCUGGUGUAGCGGUGGAAUGCGCAGAUAUCAGGAGGAACACCAAUAGCGAAGGCAGCUCGCUGGGACGGUACUGACGCUAAGGCGCGAAAGCGUGGGGAGCGAAACAGGG
rnacentral:rRNA from 1 species